GCCGGCGCCGGUCGGGCCGCCGGUCAGCGUGCUCUACUCGCCCGGUGUGGAGGUGGUGUUCGGCCCACCGGCGUCGGUGC
rnacentral:tRNA from 1 species